rnacentral:rRNA from 1 species
AUUGAACGCUGGCGGCAGGCCUAACACAUGCAAGUCGAGCGGAGCGGCGGACGGGUGAGUAAUGCCUAGGAAUCUGCCUGGUCGUGGGGGAUAACGUCCGGACAGGAGCGCUAAUACAGCAUACUUUCUGCUGACCCUAGGUCGGAUUAGCUAGUUGGUGUGGUAAAGGCCUACAAAGGCGACGAUCCGUAACUGGUCUGAGAGGAUGAUCAGUCACACUGGAACUGAGACACGGGCCAGACUCCUACGGGAGGCAGCAGUGGGGAAUAUUGGACAAUGGGCGAAAGCCUGAUCCAGCCAUGCCGCGUGUGUGAAGAAGGUCUUCGGAUUGUAAAGCACUGUAAGUUGGGAGGCGUUACCAACAGAAUAAGCACCGGCUAACUUCGUGCCAGCAGCCGCGGUAAUUC